rnacentral:rRNA from 1 species
UACGGAAGGUCCGGGCGUUAUCCGGAUUUAUUGGGUUUAAAGGGAGCGCAGGCUGAUUGUUAAGCGUGACGUGAAAUGUAGCCGCUCAACGGCUGAACUGCGUCGCGAACUGGCAGUCUUGAGUGAGUACGACGUCAGCGGAAUUCGUGGUGUAGCGGUGAAAUGCUUAGAUAUCACGAAGAACCCCGAUUGCGAAGGCAGCUGACGAGUCCUUUACUGACGCUAAAGCUCGAAGGUGCGGGUAUCGAAC